rnacentral:pre_miRNA from 1 species
GAAGUACUACCUCCGUUUCAUAAUUCUUGUCGAAAUAUUACAUGUAUUUAGACGCUUUUUAGAAAUAGAUAUAUCCAUCUUUGAGCAAAUUUAAGACAAGAAUUAUGAAAUGGAGGGAGUAGCUG